ensembl:lncRNA
CUGCAAUGUCUCACAGCGAAAAGUAGCAACAGUGUAGGAAGGUGGGAAGGACGAGGCGGCCCCGCGUCCCUGACGCCGCACGCCCCAGUUCGUGCGCGCCAGCUCUCCAGAGAGGGAGAGGGGCCGGGGGCGGGGCCGGCGGGCGGGGCGAGCGCGUCGCACCGCCCGGAAAGCGUAAGCGCGGGCUCGCGGGGGCGGCUUGGGGGCGGGCUCCGUGGGGGCGGAGCUCGAGCCUUGGAGGAGGGAUGAGCUCUCGAGCUCUGGAGGCGAAGCGACUUUCAGGACUAGUUAAUCUGUGAUCGUGGAGUUUUACUGGGGCCUGUCUCUUGCUGUUGUGGAGACGCUCCCCAAAGUGGGGGAAAAAGCAAGAAAAGAAUUGCGGAAGCCUCGUGCCAUCCCGUCCCUCCGGGCGGCGCGCGGGCCGGGCCGGGGCGGGGCGGGGCGGGGGCUGGGCGGUGUGGCCCGCGCCUCAAGCGGGGGCGCGCGCGCGGGGGCUGGGCGAGGCCGAGGGAGGGGGUGGGAGCCCGUGCGGCUUGGCCGGGGGAGGGCCUGCGGAGGGGACGUGGGACGGGCGUGAGAGGUGGCGGAGCGGCUGGGGCUCCGUCUUUAGCGGGUCUGUGGAGGCAUCUUAAUCUUCCUGAGUGGGCGCGGGGAAGGCGCAGCCCACCAGACGCCGUGUUAAAGGGAAAGUCGGUUGACGAGGGAAGCGACGCGGCCCGGGGCCGCCCGGAGUCCCGCCCCAGCCCUGCGAAGGAGCGGGGCAGAGCGGUGGGCAGGUCGGCCUGGCUCCCCGCCUGCUUUCCAGCCCGGCCCGGCGCCGCUUCCCCGCCUCGGCCGAGGGGCUGUCCCGGCGCCGCCCCGAGGGCUCCUCCCUGCGCCGGGGCCCCGGCCGCCGUGCCGCGCGCGGGCCCGGUGGCUCACAUCAGCCGCGGCGCCUUGUCUCGGGCUGAGUUUUAGGGACCUGGGCUCUUGAGCUGAGCUGCGAACGCAUCGUGAUAAUGCUCUUUCGUUUAAGCGCUGGGACAGUUACAGUGAGGAGUAGUUGUUAGUCCGGGGGACAGGUGGUUCCUGACGCGGUGGUAAAUGUCUGCGUCUUAACUGAGUUCAUUUUAGGAUCCAACCGUGAGUUUUAGAAGCCCUAGUACUGGCGUGUGUGGUCAGCUCUAGGGGGGCUCCAUGAGAAACAUCCAAGCUGGAUUAUCAAAUUCGCUUUUCCGUGUUGUUCUCAAUAGCCAUUCGAUUGUAGAAGGCAGAGCCGUCCUCUUGACAAGUACUGUUGAGGUUACUGUUUUGUCUUGCAUGACGUAAGAAUUCAAACUCCAAAAAAAGCUUCUGGACAAUUUAAUAAAGGUAUUCAACAUAUAAGUGAUUUUUGAAUGAUGUUCCAUUGAAUACAGGCACAUUGGAAGAUUGGGUCUUCAAAGUGUUGUACACAAUGACUACUUGAGAAAUUUGGCUGCUACAGCUAAAGACCUUCUGCCACCUUUGGCAAUAAUUUAUUUCCCUUGCCUUCAAGCAUCCCCAGACUCCAUACUGUGUAAAGUAUGCGCAGAAUCUCCAGGGAGGAUUUUCUUAGUCUGGAGAGGUCAGCUCUGCUGCUGCUGAAUUGUAACUAGUUAAGUUUUCUAGACUUUUAUAAAGAAAGAUAGUCUUCAAGAACUUAAUACAUUCCUCAAGGGGAAACAAAGGCUUAGAGCCAUGUGCGAGAAACUGAGUGUUCUGAAGUACCAGGUUAGGAUUUGACAAAAGAUCAUUCACUUCAGCAGAGAAAAUAUUGUAUGCAAAGACAAAAAAAUUAACACCAUUUCAAUGAGAGGUCACUUACAUAUUCCAUUGUGAAGACGUUUUCAAAAGUUAAUACAAAACAUGUACACCUGUCCUGUUUUCCUCGUAAGCCUCACAUUGCUGUGUCUCCUACCUCUCCGCAUCUGCUGGCUUGUGCACAUGGUGUUCCUGUCUCCUCUGCUGGAUGAUGGCAGCUGCAGCCCACUGCUCUUCUCUCUAAGCAAGCAUUCCAGAAAGCUUGGAGAACCGCAGCUGCCCUUUUCAGAGCAAAAGGGCAGCUAAAGCUGGAUAGCUAAAGCUGGGACUUCUUACUAAAUAUGAACAACUCCUGCCCACCACUGCAAUUCCCCAGUGUAUAAACAUCAGCUUCCACAAACUUAAGAUAUGCCUCCGAGGAGUCAGAGGAGCUUGUUCCAACCCUUGCUAUGGUUUGGUUUUUAUCACUGGCAUCAAAUAGUUCAGUUAUUUUCCUUGCAUUAAUAGGCUUCAUUUCUGUACAAGAAAAUGUCUUAAAUGAUCAUAGUUUGUCCGUCAUCGUUUCAAGUAAAAAUGGUUUGCUAUGACAAAAGCAGCUAUUUGAGCUUGCAACUCAAAAGACUUACAUGUGCUUUUUCUGAAGACACCGUAUUUUAGUAUGCAGAAGAAUUAAUUUACGUGUAUUUCCCAUUUGUCACACAAAAUGUUAAAAGGACAUGUACUCCAUAAAAUUAAUGGUUUUUACUAAGUUUUUUUAAGGACAUUCUUAAACUUUUUUUUUUAUAACGUGUGGCAGGAAGAAUACAUUGACUUAAUUCAUGCUAGCAGUUUUACUCACCAUUGCUUUUGCACCAUCAAUGCAAAUGCCAAUGCAGGUGUUCCAAGAUAAACUAUGAAAUUCAAAAAGUUCAUUUACCACUUUGAUAUUUCAGCAGAAGUUGUAUUUAAUGCCUGUCAUUCAAAUAAAAGAUCUUCUCUGAUGAUUAGUUGGUGCUGAUACCAGAUAGAUGUAGGCAAAACAGCUAGUCCAGCAAAAUCUGUAGGCCUGCCCAUUUUUUAAGGUAAAAUUACAAUUCUGCAGACGAGAUAUCAACCCAAUCUUCAUGAUUUCAGUUAAAUCUUUAAAAAGUUACUGUAUAUGUGGAAAAUUGAACUUACGUAAUUUAUUUUACUGACUUUUCAUCCAGCAGGUAUUGCGAUGUCAUCUGUAUACAGCUUCAUUCGUAUUUUGUAUGCUCCAGCCAAUGCAAUACAAUAAUUCAGUCUGUAAAGUGUUUCCGUGGCUUUUUCACUUCUGAUUUCAAAAGCUAGAAUAAUGUUUGGCUUUAAAGAGCUUUUCACAUCUAUUUUUUAAUAUAUUCAGUUCCUUUUUCUUUAAACUCUCAUCUCAAAAUGAAACUACAACUUAUCUGAAAGUCUUUUGUUACAUAAGACACAAUAAGGUAAAUUGUUAACAUCUAUAAGGCCAAGGAAAAGAUACUUUUCCUUCUAUUUUUAUUUUUUAUUUAUAUUAUAUCCAGUUUCUUUAAAUAGAUUACUUCCUUCCAUGAAUCAGAGGACUCUGAUAUCUCAGUUUCAUCUUUUUUGGCAUUUUUUGACGUAAUCCAUUCGUUGGGGUGAGAAAGCAAUUCUUCUAAUCUCCCAUUUAAAGCCAACGAUCCAUCCAUUUCCCAUGUUGUUUCUUCCUUUGCAUAAAUUCAGAUUUCUAUCUGGUUUCAUUUCUCUCCUGCAUUUCCUUCUUUAACAUUUCUUUUUCUCUUUUUUUUUGAGGAAG